rnacentral:rRNA from 1 species
GACGAACGCUGGCGGCGUGCCUAAUACAUGCAAGUCGAGCGGACGUUGUUGGAGCUUGCUCCAACAACGUUAGCGGCGGACGGGUGAGUAACACGUGGGCAACCUGCCUUAACGACUGGGAUAACUCCGGGAAACCGGGGCUAAUACCGGAUAACAUCUAGCACCUCCUGGUGCAAGAUUAAAAGAGGGCCUCUGGCUCUCACGUUAAGAUGGGCCCGGGGCGCAUUAGCUAGUUGGAGACGUAAUGGCUCCCCAAGGCGACGAUGCGUAGCCGACCUGAGAGGGUGAUCGGCCACACUGGGACUGAGACACGGCCCAGACUCCUACGGGAGGCAGCAGUAGGGAAUCUUCCGCAAUGGACGAAAGUCUGACGGAGCAACGCCGCGUGAGUGAAGAAGGGUUUCGGCUCGUAAAGCUCUGUUAUGAGGGAAGAACACGUACCGUUCGAAUAGGGCGGUACCUUGACGGUACCUCAUCAGAAAGCCACGGCUAACUACGUGCCAGCAGCCGCAGUAA